rnacentral:rRNA from 1 species
CCAAUAGCGUAUAUUAAAGUUGUUGCAGUUAAAAAGCUCGUAGUUGAAUUUCGGGAUCGACGGGUCGGUCGCGCCUCUGGUGUGUACUGGCCCUGUCGGUUUCUCCCUUCUGAAGAACCGCGAUGUCAUUAAUUUGGUGUCGUGGGAAAUCAGGACUGUUACUUUGACAAAAUUAGAGUGUUUAAAGCAGGCAUUCGCUUGAAUACAUUAGCAUGGAAUAAUGAAAUAGGACGUUUGAUCUUAUUUUGUUGGUUUCUAAGAUCGACGUAAUGAUUAAUAGGGAUAGUUGGGGGCAUUAGUAUUCAAUUGUCAGAGGUGAAAUUCUUGGAUUAAUUGAAGACUAACUACUGCGAAAGCAUUUGCCAAGGAUGUUUUCAUUAAUCAGGAACGAAAGUUAGGGGAUCGAAGACGAUCAGAUACCGUCGUAGUCUUAACCAUAAACUAUGCCGACUAGGGAUCGGAUGAUGUUAAUUUUUUAAUGACUCAUUCGGCGCCUUACG